rnacentral:rRNA from 1 species
UCCUACGGGAGGCAGCAGUGGGGAAUUUUGGACAAUGGGCGAAAGCCUGAUCCAGCAAUGCCGCGUGUGUGAAGAAGGCCUUCGGGUUGUAAAGCACUUUUGUCCGGAAAGAAAUCCUUGGCUCUAAUACAGUCGGGGGAUGACGGUACCGGAAGAAUAAGCACCGGCUAACUACGUGCCAGCAGCCGCGGUAAUACGUAGGGUGCGAGCGUUAAUCGGAAUUACUGGGCGUAAAGCGUGCGCAGGCGGUUUGCUAAGACCGAUGUGAAAUCCCCGGGCUCAACCUGGGAACUGCAUUGGUGACUGGCAGGCUAGAGUAUGGCAGAGGGGGGUAGAAUUCCACGUGUAGCAGUGAAAUNCNUAGAGAUGUGGAGGAAUACCGAUGGCGAAGGCAGCCCCCUGGGCCAAUACUGACGCUCAUGCACC